UACGAAUCGUCCAAACGUUGUUCGGAUUCACUGGGUUUAAAAGGCGCGUAGGCGGUGCGUUAAGUCGGCGGUGAAAUACUUCGGCUCAACCGGAGAAUUGCCGCUGAAACUGGCGUGCUCGAGGGAGGUAGAGGUGCGUGGAACUUCCGGUGGAGCGGUGAAAUGCGUUGAUAUCGGAAGGAACACCUGUGGCGAAAGCGAUGCACUGGACCUCUUCUGACGCUGAGGCGCGAAAGCCAGGGUAGCGAACGGG
rnacentral:rRNA from 1 species